rnacentral:rRNA from 1 species
GACGAACGCUGGCGGCGUGCUUAACACAUGCAAGUCGAACGGAAAGGCCUCUUUCGGGGGGUACUCGAGUGGCGAACGGGUGAGUAACACGUGAGUAACCUGCCCUUGACUUUGGGAUAACUUCAGGAAACUGGGGCUAAUACCGGAUAGGAGCUCCUGCUGCAUGGUGGGGGUUGGAAAGUUUCGGCGGUUGGGGAUGGACUCGCGGCUUAUCAGCUUGUUGGUGGGGUAGUGGCUUACCAAGGCUUUGACGGGUAGCCGGCCUGAGAGGGUGACCGGCCACAUUGGGACUGAGAUACGGCGCAGACUCCUACGGGAGGCAGCAGUGGGGAAUAUUGCACAAUGGGUGGAAGCCUGAUGCAGCAACGCCGUGUGCGGGAUGACGGCCUUCGGGUUGUAAACCGCUUUCGCUCAUGACGAAGCUUUGUGUGACGGUAGUGGGUAAAGAAGCACCGGCUAACUACGUG